ensembl:snRNA U6 U6 spliceosomal RNA
GCUUGCUUUGGCAGCAUACAGUAAAACUGGAACCAUACAGAGAAAAAUUAGGAUGGCCUCUAGGCAAGAAUGACAAACAAACUAGUAAAGCAUUCUAGAUUUUU